AAUGAUCUUUACCUUCUACAAGGCUCAGGGUCUUUCAGUUGGUUCCUCCUUGGUUGAGGAAGACAAACUAGAGCUUGCAACAUCACUCCUGGAAAAGGCCAAGGCAAAAGGAGUCAGUCUCUUGUUACCAUCUGAUGUUGUGAUUGCAGAUAAAUUUGCUCCUGAUGCAAACAGCAAGAUUGUGCCGGCAUCUGCUAUCCCAGAUGGUUGGAUGGGGUUAGACAUUGGACCAGACUCUAUCAAGACUUUCAACGAUGCUUUGGAUACCACAAAAACAGUGAUCUGGAAUGGACCUAUGGGGGUGUUUGAAUUUGACAAGUUUGCUACUGGAACGGAGGCAAUUGCAAAGAAGCUAGCAGACCUAAGUGGGAAAGGAGUGACCACUAUCAUUGGAGGUGGAGACUCUGUUGCAGCGGUUGAGAAAGUUGGAGUGGCUAGCGUGAUGAGCCAUA
rnacentral:misc_RNA from 1 species